GAUGAAGAACGCAGCGAAAUGCGAUAAGUAGUGUGAAUCGCAGAAUUCAGUGAAUCAUCGAAUCUUUGAACGCACAUUGCGCCCCUUGGUAUUCCAUGGGGCAUGCCUGUUCGAGCGUCAUUUGUACCCUCAAGCUUUGCUUGGUGUUGGGCGUCUUGUCGUAUUACGACUCGCCUUAAAUACAUUGGCAGCCGGCACUUUGGCCUAGGAGCGCAGCACAUUUUGCGAUCGUAGCCCGUUGUACUGGCGUCCAUCAAGAACAUUUACCACGUUUGACCUCGGAUCAGGUAGGGAUACCCGCUGAACUUAAGCAUAUCAAUAAGCGGAGGA
rnacentral:misc_RNA from 1 species